rnacentral:lncRNA from 1 species
AAACAACGGCUGGGCUCCCAGGCGGCCACCGGCCAGCCUAUUUUUCUUUACAGUCACCGGUCACCAGGCCAACGGCUGGGACUGUCUAUUUGACAUUUGACUGUUUUACAAUUCAGUAACAUUCACAACUGUUUGUCCCAAAAGCCCCCAACCGGACACUGCAUAAUUCCUUUUAUUUCGGGAUAAACGGGUCAGGCAGAACCCUGACCCGGUUUCAACUAAACCACACCACCACCAAUCCUCGCUGCACCGCUGGACCACAGCAAACAGCUCGCCAUGAACUUGCUACUCACGGAAAUCUCCAGCCCCUCCUACAUAACAUCAUAGAGCUCACCUAACACACAUCACAAAAGGAAGAAACAAAUCAGGCCGAUGGCCAUGGAAGAAGGGUGGGAAGAAGAACAACGAGCAGUUCAAAAUCAGAUAAGGCAGGCAGCCAUGAGAGAGAGGGAUGAAUCUGGAGAGGAAGGUGGAGGUUUACCUAGAGACAAGCGUGAAGGAAGAACAACAACUAGGCAAUUGGGGAAAUCUCAGGAAAAUCAAAAGGUCAGGCACAAAAACUACUGCUACCCCCUAGUACUUCAACUCUUCACCCGCUUCACCUCUCUUACAAGAAAAAUCCACAAAACAAAUGCGUCAGAGAAACAAUCAGUAGACAAGAACUAUAUACUCUGGAAAUAAUUCGUCACUAGCAGUAGAUAGAACUUGGAUAGUUGUAUAAUUUACACUGCAAGCACACAUAGUGCCUGGAUUGACUCUGGAAUGAACAGUAGCACACCAAGAAUUACACUGAAACUGGCUAAAACAGACCAAGGAUUACAGUGCAAAAUCCCCUAGUAAUUACAUAGUACUCCCUCCGUCCUAUGAUGUAAGACGCUUUUUGACACUAGUGUAGUGUCGGAAAACGUCUUACAUUAUGGGACGGAGGGAGUAAUUCCCAGUGCAAAUUGCAUAGAAAUUACAGUGGAAAUUACAUAGAAAAAUACAGUGGAAAAUUGCAUAUAAAUUUUAGUGUAUCAAUGUAAGAAUGCAUCAAAACUUACAUCGGUAGAAACCUAUUGUAUUUACACUGUUAAGAUACUACUGCUAAUUGUACUCUUACUGACAUUCCUUUUCCAAAAAUGCAGAUUGGGAGCACGACAAGAACAAUAACAAAAGAUGAUCUACUAUCAAUGUCACAGGAAGAUAUCAUCCUAAAUGUGAGUACCAAAAUCAGUAGCAAAACACUUGCAUGAGAAUGAUCAGUACAUGAAAAAGAAAAACUCACACACAAAUACAUUGCAAGAGUCAUUUUCAUUUACUGCGUUCCUACAGUCAGGCAUUAUAUACAAGGUAAGAAACUAACCCCCAUAAGUCUCAGCUGAAGACGAUUUGAUUACUUAGCUUCCCCAUUUGCAAUUCAUUAAAAACUAUUUUUAGUAUUACUAUUAUUUCAGUAUUACUAUUACAUCAAGAAUUCUGGUUUAAAAACAUGUCGCAUACAGGUACAUUCGGCUAAUGGUACAACACAACUGAGAGUGGAGGAGUCCGGUAACAAAACACAAAACAGCAAACAACCCAUCAGUACAUUCUACAGUAAGACUAAUGAAAUGGAGAAAAAUUCAUGAAUACACAAAAGUAAGAGAGAAAUUUACAACUUUAGUAUUCUUGUGCAGACAUUUGAAGAACUGGAAAACGAAGCUACACGAAAUGAAGAAGGUGCAGAAGAGCAUAACCCGUGGCAUGCAGACCUGUUUGGCACCAUGAACUUGGAACAAGUGGGUACAUGAAGACAAAAUUUCAGUAAGAUACAUAUCAUAAAAGUUGAAAACUAGUAAGAAAAUUAUGAAUGAGGCGAAAUGCUAAAAAAUGCAGGUAACUGAGGAUGACCCUAGUUCAGCAGCAACACAAGCACACAACACUUGCCAGAAUAAUGAAGAAAGAGAAAGGCCAAAAACAGACCACUCACAUGAACAAGAUGACAACGAAUACCUUGACGAAGAAGACACUGAAAGAUUCCUGCAAAAUGAACAAGAGGCUGCAUCAGAAGGCAAUUUGAUGAACACUAGCAGCAACUUCAAGCCACACCUAGGCAUGCAAUUCAAAACAAAGGAAGAAGGCCAGGAAUAUAUCAACUUCUACUCCAAAAUCGCUGGAUUCUCAGUGGCAGCACUAGCAGCAUCAAGAACAACAAGCAAAAAGAGGAACAAUGAGGUGACCAGAAUAACUAUGAAGUGCAACAAGUGGGGAAUUAAUGAAAAUAAAUAAAAAGAAGCCAAAAUUCAGGAAUUACAUAACUGAAAUCAAUGUAAAUACACUGCAAAAAUGGGGGAAUAUACACUGUAGAUACAAUGUAAACCAUCAUAAUUCUAGGGGAAAUUACACUAGAAUCAGGGGCCAUAUAAAUGUGUCAGGGAUUACAUAGCUAAAAACAUUAAAAAUACACAGUAACUCGUGUAAAUUACACUGGAACUAAGGACAAAUUACAUUGAAACUACAUGAUGAAUUACACAAUAGUUAUUGGGAAAAAUAAAUACAGAUUAAUUCCAUUGAAGCUACAAGAUGAAUUACACAGUAAUUCUUGGGCAAAUUACACAGUAACACUACAACAUGAGUUACACAGUAAGUCUAUAUUGAAUUACACCCGACAACUACAAAGAUGAAUUACAACUACAAAGAUGAAUUACACAGUAAAUUCUAUAUUGAAUUACACUGAAACUGCAUGAUGAAAUUACACAGUAAAUUCUAUAUUGAAUUACACUGAAACUGCAGGAUGAAUUACACAGUAAUUCUAUAUUGAAUUACACUGACAACUACAAAGAUACAUAGUAAUUCUAUAGUAAAAUUACACUGAAACUACAUGAUGAGUUACACAGUAAAUUACACUGAAACUACAUGAUGAAUUACACAGUAAAAAUGUGGCAAAAUACACAGUAAAAACUACUAAUUCUAGAGAGAGAGAAACACUGAAACUAUAGGCUGAAUUACAUAGUAACUACCGUGCAAUUUGCAUAGUAUAUUACAUUGAAACUAUGGGGAUUACACAGUAAGUCUGACACAAAAAAUACACAAUAAAAUUCUAGUAAUUCUAGAGUGAAAAAACAUUGAAACUAUGGGCUGUAUGGGCUGAAUUACAUAGUAACUACAAUGCAAUUUGCAUGGUAUAUUACACUGAAACUGAGGGGAUUAGCAAGUAAGACUCAGGCAAAAAAUACACAGUAAUUCUAAUGUAUGCCACUGAAACUCUAGGGUUACACAUCAACACUCGGCACAACCAAAAGAUACAAACCUGCAUCAGAUACACAGUUACCAGGGGCAUUGCAGAAAGCUUAAAAAGAAUACAUUGCAGAAGCACAUAAAAAACACCCCCAGGCAACUAGGAGGAACCUAAGUACAUCUAAACUACGAGGAACAUAUGCACUUGCAGGACAAAAGGGGACCUGCAACAGAGGGCAUAGGAGGAACCUAACUACAUAUAAACCUACCGAAAUCCAAACAUAUACAGACCCUAGAACCAACACGGCCAGAGGAGGGCAAACACCCAUCUGCCAGCAAUCAAGCGAACCACCUACCAACACAAAACUGAUCCAUACAUCUAUCUGAAUCACAAACUAGUCACGCAUGAACCUACCACGAGCAGAGGAAGAACUCAAUGGCGGACAACACGAAGCAGACAAGGAACUAUGGCGGGACAACGUGAACCAUAACGAACCACAAAAACUACAAGCACCUACCAUGAAUCUACAGCACCACGGCCCUGGAACACAACACACACCUACCACGAACCCUAACAAAAUCACAUCAGCAAACUGACCUCCUAGAUCUGGAACCUAUACACCGAGAAAUGAACAAAAAACAUGCGCUCGCGAGAGAAAAUGAGAGACCAACCAACCGCAGGAGGCGAGAAUCAAAGAGAAAUUGGAAAGGAAUCAAGCUCCACGGGUGGGGGAUUUGAGAAUCGACAUGAACAGAAAGGAAUCGCCUCCGCCGCCCGAGCGCGUGUUCCUCUCUCUGCCUCGCUAUCUCCUCUCUCCCUUGUCGCUAUAGUACCGCUCAAAUGAAAAGGGAAAACCACGCCCAGAAUUCAAAUAGGACAAAAACCG